GCAAUUAGUAUUCAUUUGAAUGACGUGACAAACAGUCAACAAUGUGCAUAAUUUGCGAUGGACAAACUUUGCCUUUCAUUUGUCUUUCUCAAUUCUUGUUUAUCCGUUUGAUCCCGAUGGUAUACAGCUGUGAAAUGUUAUCCAUUAUUAUUGUUUGAUACGACGGGUGUUCUAUUAUGAAGACUCUUCCGCAGAAUUAGAAAUUUUUAAACAGAUGAAUAUUCCUCAAACUAGAAUACCUAAUCAAAUGGUACCUCAUGCAGAUACGAAGAUCGCUCUUCUCGGUUGCGGACCAGCUUCUCUCUUAUGUGCGACAUUUCUCGCUCGACUUGGUUACAAUGAUAUUACGAUCUUUGAAAGAGAAAAAUAUAUAGGCGGGUUAAGUUCUU